UACAGGGGGUGCAAACGUUGCUCGGAAUUAUUGGGCGUAAAGCGCGCGUAGGCGGCCACUUAAGUCGGAUGUGAAAGCCCCUGGCUCAACUGGGGAAGUGCACCCGAAACUGAAUGGCUUGAGUGCGAAAGAGGGUCGCGGAAUUCCCGGUGUAGAGGUGAAAUUCGUAGAUAUCGGGAGGAACACCGGUGGCGAAGGCGGCGACCUGGGUCGACACUGACGCUGAGGCGCGAAAGCGUGGGGAGCAAACGGG
rnacentral:rRNA from 1 species